CAAGGAUCUUCGGUCCCGUCACCCUCUUCUAAUCUCACCGUCGCUCACCGCCCCCGCACUUCUCCGCGGAGCAAGAGAGGAGAAGACCGGGAUGUUGCUGGGGAAGCGACCGAGGCCCCAGGUGAGGCGGACGCCGAGCUCCGCGGAGUUCUCCUCGGCCGUCGUCUUCGAUGUAGAGGCCGCCCAGACGUCUAAUCAGGACGCGAUCGCUUGCCACUUUAAUCCGAGGGAGACGCGGUGGGGCGCGGCGGAGGCUGCGCAGAUCGGGGCCGCCGGGAGAGAAGGCUGUUGGGCGACGAGGCACGUGGGGUCCACGCUUUUCCUCCACAGCGGCGUGCACUGUGGGAACUCCGGCGACGGGACGGCGCCCUUCUUGAGGGCCUGCGGCCUCUGCAAUCGCCGCCUCGGACCUGGCCGAGAUACUUACAUGUAUAGGGGUGACAUUGCUUUCUGUAGCCUUGAGUGCCGCCAGCAACAAAUGAAUUCAGAUGAGCAGAAAGAGAAGUGCUAUCUAACUUCUAUGAAUGAUAAUCCUCUUGAAACUAGCUGCUCCAACCAAUCCGACUGUGAGGCAUCGAUCACUGCUACCUGAGCUAUCAUUAAUAACUGUUCAUAGAAUUUUCAGUGAUUCCAAACAAGAUAUUUCAAAUGCUAUAAUGCAAAGAGAUACAUCAACAGCAUGUAAGAAGUGAUUUGGGAACCAUGACCUAAGAGCUACAACACAUGCAAGUGACUGGAACUUCAAGAUUGGCAGGAUCUUUUGAUGAACUUACUCUUAUCAAGCACUAACAAACCACCAGAUUUAAGGUUGCAAGCUGAAAACUCUACCUCAGUCCUUCAGCUAAGAAUCAAGUCUUGACAAGAUACAAGCUGCAUGUGUUCCAGUCUGUUUCCUGAAGAACAUUUGAAGGGUAAGCUUUGAAAAUGAUGUGACCUGCACAAAGCUGGCCAAUGAUACUUGUACAAGCAGUCUUUAGUGGCACCUGGGUCUCUCUUGUACCAUCAUGGUGGGCUUUAUCUCUGAUGACUUGAUAAUAAUGUGGCUCACUCCUGCAAUGUAGACUGGUGACCAACUAAAAGUCUGAUGACAUUAUGCCUCUUCUAUCUCACCAACAGGCAGUGGCUCACAUCAACUGAAAGCUUCAGGUGGAUGCAAACGAAGCCCAAAGACAAGCCAAUUACAAUGACAUUAAGCCUUGAUGUUCCAACAACUAUUUGGGAUUCAAUUCAUGAAUCUUUUCUCACUAUUAAUCAUUGUGUAAGACCAUGGUUUAGUUAAAUCAUCAAGAGCAUUGAAAUGUUGUUAUACAUUGUUUCUAAUAAAAUCUUCUU